UACGGGGGGGGGCAAGCGUUGUCCGGAAUUAUUGGGCGUAAAGCGCGCGCAGGCGGUCCUUUAAGUCUGAUGUGAAAGCCCACGGCUCAACCGUGGAGGGUCAUUGGAAACUGGGGGACUUGAGUGCAGAAGAGAAGAGUGGAAUUCCACGUGUAGCGGUGAAAUGCGUAGAGAUGUGGAGGAACACCAGUGGCGAAGGCGACUCUUUGGUCUGUAACUGACGCUGAGGCGCGAAAGCGUGGGGAGCAAACAGG
rnacentral:rRNA from 1 species